GCGUGAGUACUGCUCACUGCACCAUGUAAAUAAGACUGAGCUGUAAUGUAACUUUGCCUUCCUCAAAUGUACUGCGGAUGUUAUCAUGCGGAUUGGGGGCAGGUGUGACAACUAUACUAUACUAAAAUGAGUAAUUAGAUAAAUCAUCAGAAAUUAACAUCACCAGCUAUCAUAACCUCUCCCAAGCACUUCAAACAGAACCCUUUCUUUAACUUGCGCUGUCAGUCAGCUUGCAGUCCCAGCCAGUCAAGCUCUUACAGUGACUGCGAAGGUGCAGUUCAGGCUAGUUGUUAUGUCGCUGAGGAUGGCUUGUUCUACAAGGGUCUGCGCAUGAUGCAAUCCUCGUCUCUCCCGCUAGAUGGCGGUAAAAGCGCAGAGAGGCCGGCCAAUAGCAACAGGCAGUGGGUAAGACAGUGGAGCCAAGUCCUCUCUGACUCCGCCCAGUCCUCUCUGACUCCGCCCAGUCCUCUCUGACUCCGCCCAACACGGACACCUGAAGGGUGGCUGCAGCUGUCGUCCCCAGCAGUGCCACGUAGAGGGCGGGGUGCCCUAAACGAGGGUGCUCACGUUGUGAUAAGUGGCAGUUUGUCAGGCCCCAGCGAGCUCUCCAUAUUCCCCGGACCGCCACAUAGUUCAACGGGCUCAAAGACUGAGAACCUACUGGCUGCACACUGGAGGCUGGCUUGGAACCAGCCUCACCUGUUUUGAUCAAAUUUUGGGUUUUUGUUGUUCCUAGUGUGUUCCUGGUUAUUUUGCUCCCCUGUUUGGUUUGCCCUGCUUGUGUCCUGUUUGGUUUUUAUCUAAUGCACUCAGCCCUCUGUAUUAUGCCUCCUAGUUUCUAUUUUUGGGGUAUUUCUUAGUUUCAUGCUCAUGUAAUUGUAAUCUGCCUCACCUGUUCCUUUUUGCUUUGUUAAUUUGAUUAUGGUUUUCACCUGUUCCUUGUUUGCUGUGAUGUUCCUGUAUAUUUAAGUGCCUGUCUGUGUUUUCCUUGGUGAGUCAUUGCGGUAUGUUACUGUGUGUUAUGCUGCCUGUUCCCAUCAGUGUAUUGACUUUGUGGUUUCUUUUGGUUAAUUCUGGUUUUUCCUGAUUCGUUCUGACCCCUCCUGGUCCUUUUAUGUUGUGGUCUCCCCAUUGUUCUGUUUAUUAAGAAACCCCUUUGUCUCAGAGCUGUUCAGUGGAUCAUCGCCCUCUUUUCCUUGCCUUCAUCGUGCCGUGCUUUGACAACACGGUCUUCACGGUGACCAGAGCAGUGAGCAUACAUCAGUUUGGGCAAAACCUCAACAGGUUGCUGGUUAACUGCGUUGCCUGCAGGCCAAUCACGAGCCACAUUUGACACUUCAUGAGAACCAGGUCAGCUCAAUGUACCACCUGCUGAGCCCCAAGAAAUUCAUGGAAAACAACACUGGAGUUUGUUGACUAUUUCCUUUCCUGGCAAUCCAUGUUCAGUUCUCUGUGUUGGGUAGGGAAACUAGAAGAAACAGCAAAUCCAAGAAAACACAGAAGUGAUCUGACAAAGCAAGAUUCCAAACAUCACCAGCAGGAAUAUUGAGUCCAUUGUUGAUAACCAAGUCAAGCAUACGGCCUUGAAAAUUAGUGGGACAAUUUACAUGCUGUGAUAAAUUAAACAGGCAAGAUAUUCUUCAGCAAA